UCCUAGGAAUGUUGCUUAAAAAAGAAAUGAUCUUUCAUAACACUUGAGCCUAAACGGACAGCCUGAGGACCAAGUUGCUAACCUCUAAUUCUGUGUCUAAAAUAAAACCACUUCGGAAUCUGCCCUCAGAUAUGGCUAAGAAUUUCUACUUAAUCCCAUAUUUGUAUAAGCAGAAACUUCCCGACCUACAGAGACCCUGUGUGCAAAUCCAUCGAUAGUCUCUCCUCAUCCCUAUGGAAAUCAGACCAUCUCACAAGUAGUGGAAACGUCAACUUUUGCCCACACUCCGCAUAGGACAGCCAAGCCAUCUUCAGAUAGCCCUGUGCCACCAGUGACUGCUACCCCGGGGGGUGGACGGUUUGCUCCCGGCACAAUUUCUGAAAGCGUAACCCUCCCCCAGAGAACGACGCCACUUUCCCAGGCCGAACCUAGCAAGACACAGUGGAUGCAACACCAAACUACGCCUGCACCAUCUGAGGGAGCCCCUGGAAACAUCACAGAACCAUCUGAUACAAGCAUUUUGCAGAGCAUUACAGGUUCUGUUUUCUUCAGAAUUGGAUUCCCUUUUUUAGUAGUGAUCAUCCUAUCAGCAGGCUUCACAUACUACUGCUGCUGUAGAAGACAACGCAAUCUUUGGAGGCAGCCCAAAGCCCCCCCUGUGGAAUUGAUCCCAAUAGACCCCACAGGAUCAGAAGAAGAAAGACCAGCAUCAGCCAGCAAUUCCCAGGAUCCAGGACCAGUUAAUGAAGAAGACCCAAUGCUAUCACCCCACAGGAUUACCUCCACCGGCUGAAUGGUGCCUCUGAGCAGAUGGUCAAGGCAACUUCUAGCCCUGGAAAGGAAGUCAUUUGCACGAUGUUGGAAAUGGUGCCCAUCCACCUCCUGUUGCAAAGCCGUCGGAAGGAGGCUGGAAAUCGCUUUUGGACUCCUACAGUUGUCCCUGGCUUGUGGGGGGAGAAUCCAGCAAGUGUAUCUGUGUAAGAAGAGGCUGAGCAUGAGAAGAGGGAAAGAGGAGGGAAGAACAUGUGAAGCGGAGUUGGAAAGGAUGGGGAAGCAAUGCCCUGGAGAGAUCAACGAAGGCAUAUGUGAGGAAGAGGAGACAAUGGAGAAGGGAUCGAAUGGGGUAGACGCUUCACCUGCAUAUCUUGGAGAGGAAAUAAGGGGAAUCUCCAGUCCGUGUGGCCAGUACAUUUUCUUGCCUGCGCCUUUCACGAUUCGAGUAACCAUCCUUUGGUUCCCAAGAAGCCAACAAUUUCAAUUGUUUCAGAAUGGGCUUUUCUUGAGGUUCGAGACCCCUGGUCCAUUAUGUGUCGGCAAGCGUCCUGACUUUCAGGUUACAUGGGGGAUGGAAAACUUUGCAGAGUCAAGUGGCGUAAGAUGCUACCAGAGGCUAGUUUUGUGAAGGAAGCAUGCACCUCCAGAACCAAGUAAUAUACUCUCCUGGUAUAAACAGAGAGAAGAUCCAAUCAACAGCCAUGGAAUACUCAAAUGAAGGUUCCCCACACGGGCUCUUUUCUCCCCACCAAUCAAGGAGAAAUAACUUUAAAGUUAACAAUUAGCAUUCCUGGAUGCUGUAAGCAUCUAAGAGGGCAGCAGCGUUAGGUAAUGGAAGGGCAUUCCUGGAGCUGUCUGGCCUGGCGCUGUGGCUGUAUCAAGGAGGAGAACCUGCCGUGGAGCCUCAGCAGGGGCCAGCGGGAUCCAAGAGAGCGAUCUGCUGAGCGAACGGCCGCUGGAGAGGACUGAGUCUCGGAGAAGAGAGGAAUCAGAAGUCGGCCGGGAUGGCUUGACCGAGGGGCCAGAAUCCAGAAAACCCAGAAAAAGAGUUUUGGUGUUUUUUGUUUUUCCCUUUUCCCAUUCUCCUCCCUAGGGCAGAAGCAAGCCCUGGAGUUCAGAAGAAAGCUGCAGGAGACAACGAGUGAAAGAGAUCAGAUCCUGUGAAAAGCUCCCUUGGAAAUUGUCUGCAUAGACCUGUAUGCGUACCCUUUGUUAAGCUCAAACCACUACAUGUAUGUUAAAUAUCACUGUAAGUGGAACAGAACUGGGUGGAUCUGUCUGGAAAACUCCUGUCCCGUUUUCCCCACCCUCUGACAGAGGCUGACAGUGGUUGAUGGGAUUUGGAGCAGAUCCAGACACACAGAUAGGUCUUAGUGCACAAGGAAGAGAAGUAAUUUGGUGAAGUGAAAGAAAGAAUUUGGAUCCAGAACUCUAUUCAGGAAAUUACAGCAGUGUUCGAAGCAGAUCUGGAUACUAGGCCAGAUGCAGCUGUACUACAUCCAGAUGCUGGAACCCCCUGUGGGAGUGGAAGGGGCUGUAGGUGGAGAGAAUCCCACUGUUAAUCCUAGGCAAAGGGAAGAUGACUCAAAGGAGGAGCUUUUGAACCCUGGCUAAAAAUGUGCCAGCUGAUGUGCCAGAAGCAAGAAGAAGAUAGUUGCUGGAGAGAAGCUGAGAGAUGGAGAGAUUAGAGAGGGGGGCUUGUCUAGGAGAGCUUUUUAAAAAUUAAUUGCAUUUAAUGUUUUGAAAGAAUAUAAGGGAAAAGAAAAAUAUAAGUAAGAAAAAUACAGGCCAUGUAGGAAAAACAGGAAGCAAGAUACAGAUAAUUAUCCCUAUUGGACUUGGGAUUGUACAUACCUGGUUAACACAUUACAAAUCGCACUAUAAACAAAAAGGAAUACUUUCACUGAGGUUUUUUUUUCUGAUUGAUUGAUUCUGUACCCUCAAGUCAUUUUGGACUCCUAGCAACCACAUAGAUAGAUUUUAUCCAUGGUGAUCUAUCCCUAACCGGGUCUUUCAAGUCUCUCAAUGGCGUCCCUGUUGCCACUGUAACUGAGUCCACCCACCUUGCUGCCGGUCAUUCGAAGUAGGAUAAUUUGAGCCUGGUUGUUGGGAAAAAACACAGUUCUGUAGACAAGAAAACCCAAGCUUUGCACGUGGCACAAGUCCAUAUAACAAUAUAAGCCAAGAAUGGUUUCCAAAUAGAAUUAAAUUCUCCUCAGAUUUACUUUUUAUGUAGCAAGUAAGAGAGGGACAUUAGUGACAUUUAAUUAGAGGCAUCCAGAAAUGGGAGCAAAAUCUUCUUCCCCGCCCUGUGACAGGAUAUGAAAAUCCCAGGUUUGCAGAAAGGGAGGAUAUAGAAUCCUUCCUUAUCAUGGUUGAAAGGGGGGCAGCCACAGGUCCCUGGCCAGAACAGGGAUGGGCAACAGGAUCGCCUCCAGCCUUACUGGAGAAGCCCUCCAAGCUUGCUCCAGCUUGCCUGCCAGAGACAUUGCAGAUUAUGAAAAAGUGAAAAAGACUCUCACAGUGCUAUCAAGUAAUGAAACAUGCCACUUUUACAUUGAGAGCACAGUUACAAUAUAUUGAAAUAACUGAUGGGAAACUUUAUUGUACCAGGCAUAAUUUAUAUGCUCUGUAAGUAAGAUCCAUGUGUUUUAUACGUUCAGCUGACAUUGCAGUUUGUGGCUGAUGCCUCUUUGGUUUUCGGCUCUGUGAAAGGUCUGCAGACCAAAAUGUAAUUAAAAUUCUGUAAUGAAUUGCACAUACAUGGAGAGAUUUCGGGAACAUCCAUAUGGAGCUUGGGAAGAAGUCAGAGAUCUGUGGGGCUGAUCGGAAGACUUAGGUGGUCCCUGGUUACCCCCAGAGUAAAGGUGUCCAGGGGAAAUAACGGAACAAGGCGGGUUGGAACAGUUCCUAAACACUCUGCCAGGACCAGGG